GGGGCUGUGGCUCAGUGGUAGAGCACUUGCCUAGCACGUGUGAGGCACUGGGUUCGAUCCUCAGCACCA
rnacentral:tRNA from 1 species